rnacentral:rRNA from 1 species
UACGAAGGGGGGCUAGCGUUGCUCGGAUUGACUGGGCGUAAAGGGCGCGUAGGCGGAUAGUACAGUCAGGCGUGAAAUUCCUGGGCUCAACCUGGGGGCUGCGUUUGAUACGUAUUGUCUGGAGUUCGGAAGAGGGUCGUGGAAUUCCCAGUGUAGAGGUGAAAUUCGUAGAUAUUAGGAAGAACACCGGUGGCGAAGGCGGCGACCUGGUCCGAUACUGACGCUGAGGCGCGAAAGCGUGGGGAGCAAACAGG